ensembl:lncRNA
CUCUCACAGAGCGGGUGUGGAAGGCUUUAGAAUAAAAGUACAGUAGUACUGUCAGCAUCAAACCGCUCUGAACCCAGACACACAGCAGCUUCGUGGCGCUUUUCUUUCACGUCCCGCUAUGUCCUCAGACAGUACCAUGGACUUGGACUUGGAGCUUGGUGAGUUGCUCCAGGAGUUCCAGGAUGUGGUGGAGGAGCUGAAGGCCCCUUCUCAAAGCAGACCGCAUGCUUACCAGAAAGCAUUGCACGAGGCCAAAACUCUCACAGGGCUGAGUGAAGACAGUGGAGUCGAGGACUCAGAUUACAGCAGUGAACCAUCUAUGGGGAACAGUUUGAAUACCAGUGAGGAGGAGCUCCACACAGCAGGAAUAACGCUGGCAUCAAAAGAGCUACACAGAAAGCAUCUGCAAUGCCCUGGAAUCUGUCUUGGUUUACACAACAAAGCAACUUCCACUGUGGCUGUGACGUCUCAGCGCUCUUCUUUCAAAGCUCCUGGGUGGAGUCAUUUGUGCUGUUAUAUGCAGUGAUGAGACCGGCUCUUGGCUGCGUGCGCAUGUGGAUUAAUGAGUGCUGUUGCAGUUGCAUCCACAGACUACUGUUAAAGUUAAACAUCAGCCAAGCUGGGAGACACAAGGGAUCUUGAGAGUUUUAUCGACAUGUUGGACCGGGAACUUGCUGAGAUGUGAACAGAGAGCAAAAGUGAGCUACGUACAAUAAUGGG